UGGAUGAACGCUAGCUACAGGCUUAACACAUGCAAGUCGAGGGGCAGCAUUUCAGUUUGCUUGCAAACUGGAGAUGGCGACCGGCGCACGGGUGAGUAACACGCAUCCAACCUGCCGAUAACUCGGGGAUAGCCUUUCGAAAGAAAGAUUAAUACCCGAUGGUAUAAUCAGACCGCAUGGUCUUGUUAUUAAAGAAUUUCGGUUAUCGAUGGGGAUGCGUUCCAUUAGGCAGUUGGUGAGGUAACGGCUCACCAAACCUUCGAUGGAUAGGGGUUCUGAGAGGAAGGUCCCCCACAUUGGAACUGAGACACGGUCCAAACUCCUACGGGAGGCAGCAGUGAGGAAUAUUGGUCAAUGGGCGCAGGCCUGAACCAGCCAAGUAGCGUGAAGGAUGACUGCCCUAUGGGUUGUAAACUUCUUUUAUAUGGGAAUAAAGUUUUCCACGUGUGGAAUUUUGUAUGUACCAUAUGAAUAAGGAUCGGCUAACUCCGUGCCAGCAGCCGCGGUAAUACGGAGGAUCCGAGCGUUAUCCGGAUUUAUUGGGUUUAAAGGGAGCGUAGGUGGACAGUUAAGUCAGUUGUGAAAGUUUGCGGCUCAACCGUAAAAUUGCAGUUGAUACUGGCUGUCUUGAGUACAGUAGAGGUGGGCGGAAUUCGUGGUGUAGCGGUGAAAUGCUUAGAUAUCACGAAGAACUCCGAUUGCGAAGGCAGCUCACUGGACUGCAACUGACACUGAUGCUCGAAAGUGUGGGUAUCAAACAGGAUUAGAUACCCUGGUAGUCCACACAGUAAACGAUGAAUACUCGCUGUUUGCGAUAUACAGUAAGCGGCCAAGCGAAAGCAUUAAGUAUUCCACCUGGGGAGUACGCCGGCAACGGUGAAACUCAAAGGAAUUGACGGGGGCCCGCACAAGCGGAGGAACAUGUGGUUUAAUUCGAUGAUACGCGAGGAACCUUACCCGGGCUUAAAUUGCAUUUGAAUAUAUUGGAAACAGUAUAGCCGUAAGGCAAAUGUGAAGGUGCUGCAUGGUUGUCGUCAGCUCGUGCCGUGAGGUGUCGGCUUAAGUGCCAUAACGAGCGCAACCCUUAUCUUUAGUUACUAACAGGUCAUGCUGAGGACUCUAGAGAGACUGCCGUCGUAAGAUGUGAGGAAGGUGGGGAUGACGUCAAAUCAGCACGGCCCUUACGUCCGGGGCUACACACGUGUUACAAUGGGGGGUACAGAAGGCAGCUACCUGGUGACAGGAUGCUAAUCCCAAAAGCCUCUCUCAGUUCGGAUCGAAGUCUGCAACCCGACUUCGUGAAGCUGGAUUCGCUAGUAAUCGCGCAUCAGCCAUGGCGCGGUGAAUACGUUCCCGGGCCUUGUACACACCGCCCGUCAAGCCAUGAAAGCCGGGGGUACCUAAAGUACGUAACCGCAAGGAGCGUCCUAGGGUAAAAC
rnacentral:rRNA from 1 species